rnacentral:rRNA from 1 species
AGCUCCAAUAGCGUAUAUUAAAGUUGUUGCAGUUAAAAAGCUCGUAGUUGAAUUUGUGGUGUACGGGGGGCACCCAGCACUUAUGGGUGUUGGUGUUGCUUGUCGUUGCCAUCUUUGGGCGGAAACUGUGUGGCAUUAGGUUGUCGUGCAGGGGAUGCCCAUCGUUUACUGUGAAAAAAUUAGAGUGUUCAAAGCAGGCUUAUGCCGAUGAAUAUAUUAGCAUGGAAUAAUAAAAUAGGACCUUGGUGCUAUUUUGUUGGUUUGCGCGCAAAGGUAAUGAUUGAGAGGAUUUGUUUGUGGGUAUUCGAAUUUCAUUGUCAGAGGUGAAAUUCUUGGAUUUUUGAAAGACGAACUAAUGCGAAAGCAUUUACCAAGGAUGUUUUCAUUAAUCAAGAACGAA